rnacentral:rRNA from 1 species
CGGGCGGGUGCUUACCAUGCAAGUCGAACGGAGAUUCAGCAAUGGAUCUUAGUGGCGAACGGGUGAGUAACGCGUAGGCAAUCUGCCUUCUAGAUGGGGACAACAUCCCGAAAGGGGUGCUAAUACCGAAUGUUGUAGUUGGUUCGCAUGGACUAGCUACUAAAGGUGGCCUCUGAAUAUGCUACCGCUAGAAGAUGAGCCUGCGUCUGAUUAGCUAGUUGGAGGGGUAACGGCCCACCAAGGCUUCGAUCAGUAGCCGGUCUGAGAGGAUGAACGGCCACACUGGGACUGAGACACGGCCCAGACUCCUACGGGAGGCAGCAGUGGGGAAUCUUCCGCAAUGGACGAAAGUCUGACGGAGCAACGCCGCGUGAGUGAAGAAGGUUUUCGGAUCGUAAAGCUCUUUCGUUAGGGACGAACGUGCUCUUUGUGAAUAAUGAGGAGUAAUGACGGUACCUAAAUAAGAAGCCACGGCUAACUACGUGCCAGCAGCCGCGGUAAUACGUAGGUGGCAAGCGUUGUCCGGAAUUAUUGGGCGUAAAGCGCGCGCAGGCGGGAUAUCAAGUCUGUCUUAAAAGUGCGAGGCUCAACCUCGUGAGGGGACGGAAACUGGUAUUCUUGAGUGUCGGAGAGGAAAGUGGAAUUCCAAGUGUAGCGGUGAAAUGCGUAGAGAUUUGGAAGACACCAGUGGCGAAGGCGACUUUCUGGACGAUGUCUGACGCUGAGGCGCGAAAGCUAGGGGAGCGAACGGGAUUAGAUACCCCGGUAGUCCUAGCCGUAACGAUGGGUACUAGGUGUAGGGGUAUCGACCCCUCCUGUG